rnacentral:rRNA from 1 species
AAAGGGUGCGUAGGCGGCCUGUUAAGUCAGGGGUGAAAGACGGUAGCUCAACUAUCGCAGUGCCCUUGAUACUGAUGGGCUUGAAUUGACUAGAGGUAGGCGGAAUGUGACAAGUAGCGGUGAAAUGCAUAGAUAUGUCACAGAACACCGAUUGCGAAGGCAGCUUACUAUGGUCUUAUUGACGCUGAGGCACGAAAGCGUGGGGAGCAAACAGGAUUAGAUACCCCAGU